rnacentral:miRNA from 1 species
UCGGGUUUCUCUCCUCUUCCAG